rnacentral:rRNA from 1 species
AUUGAACGCUGGCGGCAGGCCUAACACAUGCAAGUCGAACGGUAACAGGAAGAAGCUUGCUUCUUUGCUGACGAGUGGCGGACGGGUGAGUAAUGUCUGGGAAACUGCCUGAUGGAGGGGGAUAACUACUGGAAACGGUAGCUAAUACCGCAUAACGUCGCAAGACCAAAGAGGGGGAUCUUCGGGCCUCUUGCCAUCGGGUGUGCCCAGAUGGGAUUAGCUAGUAGGUGGGGUAACGGCUCACCUAGGCGACGAUCCCUAGCUGGUCUGAGAGGAUGACCAGCCACACUGGAACUGAGACACGGUCCAGACUCCUACGGGAGGCAGCAGUGGGGAAUAUUGCACAAUGGGCGCAAGCCUGAUGCAGCCAUGCCGCGUGUAUGAAGAAGGCCUUCGGGUUGUAAAGUACUUUCAGCGGGGAGGAAGGGAGUAAAGUUAAUACCUUUGCUCAUUGACGUUACCCGCAGAAGAAGCACCGGCUAACUCCGUG